rnacentral:rRNA from 1 species
CGGUCGGNCUGUGCAAAGGUAGCAUAAUCAUUAGUCUUAUAAUUGAAGNCUGGAAUGAAAGGAUAAACUAGAAAAUCUCUCUUUUAAUUAUUCUUUUUAAAAUUUACUUUUUAGUAAAAAGGCUGAAAUAUUUCUUUUAGACAAGAAGACCCUAUAAAACUUUACAUAAAAUAAUUUAAUAAAUUAAAAAUAUGUUCUACUGGGGCGGUGAAAGGAUAAACNCCUUAAAAAUAUUGUAGAUGUGACAAUUAAAAUACCCAAAAUUUUUGAAAAUUAAAUAAGCUACUUUAGGGAUANCAGCGUAAUACGGANUGAAAGCUCAAAUUGNCAAACGUGUUUNCNNCCUCGAUGNGGAUUAGUUUUCCNAUACUGUGCCAGNGUGUCCGUC